UACAGAGGUGGCGAGCGUUGUUCGGAUUUACUGGGCGUAAAGGGCGCGUAGGCGGCCGUGUGUGUGGGGUGUGAAAUCUCCGGGCUCAACCCGGAAAGUGCGCCCCAAACUGCACGGCUCGAGUUCGGGAGGGGGGAUCGGAAUACAGGGUGUAGCGGUGAAAUGCGUUGAUAUCCUGUAGAACACCGGUGGCGAAGGCGGAUCCCUGGAACGAUACUGACGCUGAGGCGCGAAAGCAAGGGGAGCAAACAGG
rnacentral:rRNA from 1 species